rnacentral:lncRNA from 1 species
GGGGGAGUUUGUUAGGAAAAUGUGUAAUUGGCAAUCUAUGACCAAAGGACCUAUUUAUCAUAAUUGUAAAGUCAAGGACUAAAUUGUCCAGGUCAAAUAGUUCAGGGACUAAAGUUGUAAUUUAGUAAAGGUCAUAGCAUAGGUCUAGGGUAAAGUGGGAUGCUUUGAAGAUGCAAACGGCGGGUUGAUGUCGCUGGAGUUUCGCCCUGACCUUGCUAGAGCCAAAAUUGCAGAACUGACUUCGCUGGAGUUUCGCUGGUCUAUCGCUUGAGCGAAGGUACGUCGCUCGAGUUUCGCCAGGACCUCGCUCGAGCGACCAUGUUAUCUGGCCAUCGGUAAUUUUAAUGCCUCGCGAAUUUUUAAUGCCCUAUAUUACCAAAUUCGACCUACUAUAUAAACAAAAACUUUUGAUUUUCUAAUGUGACCUUUGGCAAACAUUAAAAUAACAAUUCCUCUCAACUUCCAAAGGAUCAAAAGCCAAAAUAAAUUCAUGCUUUUCAUCUUUGAUUCUCAUGGUUCUUUGAAUAAAAACAUCGACCCUCACAAAACCAAAACACCCUUUCAUAUCUCCAUAUAAACUUCCAGAAGAUCAUCUGUUUGAAGAUCCCGGAAGGAAAUUGCUUGAAGAACUGGAGAGCUUGGUGAUUCACAAAAAGUAGAAGAUAUUCAAAGCUGGGAUUUUGGCGCAGAUCUGAAAAAUCCAGGACAGCUGUGGUCGAUACAGUAAGGAGGUCAGAAUAUUGUUAAAAUCAAUAAUGUCUGACGUACUGUAAGUCAAUAUCUUCUAUAGUGGAUCUCUACUGGC